GUCCCGCGGCAGGAGCCGCCUGAGCAGCGGCUCCUGCCGCUACAGCAGCGUUUUCACGCUGCUAUGUAGGCAGCAGACGCCGCUGCCUGGUGCAGCGGCGCCUGCUGCCUCUUCCAGAAGCGGCGACAGUCGCCGCUGCGACGCGCAGCGGCGACUAUCGCCGCUGCUCUUC
rnacentral:sRNA from 1 species